UGGGCGNAGCCUGAUCCAGCCAUGCCGCGUGUGUGAAGAAGGCCUUCGGGUUGUAAAGCACUUUUGUUCGGGAAGAAAAGCGCUCGGUUAAUACCCGGGUGUUCUGACGGUACCGAAAGAAUAAGCACCGGCUAACUUCGUGCCAGCAGCCGCGGUAAUACGAAGGGUGCAAGCGUUACUCGGAAUUACUGGGCGUAAAGCGUGCGUAGGUGGUUCGUUAAGUCUGUCGUGAAAGCCCCGGGCUCAACCUGGGAAUGGCGAUGGAUACUGGCGGGCUAGAGUGCGGUAGAGGAGAGUGGAAUUCCCGGUGUAGCAGUGAAAUGCGUAGAGAUCGGGAGGAACAUCAGUUGCGAAGGCGGCUCUCUGGACCAGCACUGACACUGGGGCACGAAAGCGUGGGGAGCAAACAGGAUUAGAUACCCUGGUAGUCCACGCCCUAAACGAUGCGAACUGGACGUUGGGAGCAAUCAGGCUCUCAGUGUCGAAGCUAACGCGUUAAGUUCGCCGCCUGGGGAGUACGGUCGCAAGACUGAAACUCAAAAGAAUUGACGGA
rnacentral:rRNA from 1 species